rnacentral:tRNA from 1 species
CCAUCGGUGGUUCAGUGGUAGAAUGCUCGCCUGCCACGCGGGCGACCCGGGUUCGAUUCCCGACCGAUGCC